ensembl:rRNA 5S_rRNA 5S ribosomal RNA
GCUAGCAGCCAUAUCACCCUGCAACUCACAACUGGCAACCCACUGAAGCUAAGCAGGGCUGAGCCUGGUCUGUUCCUGGUUGAGAGACCACCUGGGAAAACCUGUGGUUGCUGCUGGAA